UUGGUGUGCACAGAGCAGCUACUUUGGAGGUCCUAGGUGAGCCGUUUAUAACACACCAUAGAGAAACUCGUUGUCUUAAACAUGCAGAUGAACAAGAUAAAUUU